GACGAACGCUGGCGGCGUGCUUAACACAUGCAAGUCGAGCGGAAAGGCACCUUUGGGGGUACUCGAGCGGCGAACGGGUGAGUAACACGUGAGUAAUCUGCCCUUCACUUUGGGAUAACCCCCGGAAACGGGAGCUAAUACCGGAUACGACCACCGUCUGCAUGCACUGGUGGUGGAAACUUUUUUGGGUGGGGGAUGUGCUCGCGGCCUAGCAGCUUGUUGGUGGGGUAAUGGCCUACCAAGGCUUUGACGGGUAGCCGGCCUGCGAGGGUGACCGGCCACACUGGGACUGAGACACGGCCCAGACUCCUACGGGAGGCAGCAGUGGGGAAUAUUGGACAAUGGGCGGAAGCCUGAUCCAGCAACGCCGCGUGAGGGAUGACGGCCUUCGGGUUGUAAACCUCUUUCAGCACCGACGAAGCGUGAGUGACGGUAGGUGCAGAAGAAGGACCGGCCAACUACGUGCCAGCAGCCGCGGUAACAC
rnacentral:rRNA from 1 species